rnacentral:rRNA from 1 species
UACGGAGGGUGCAAGCGUUACCCGGAUUCACUGGGUUUAAAGGGGGCGUAGGCGGGCUGAUACGUCAGCGGUGAAAGCUCCCCGCCCAACCGGGAAAGUGCCAUUGAUACUGUUAGCCUUGAGUGCAGUUGAGGUGGGCGGAAUACAGCAUGUAGCGGUGAAAUGCUUAGAUAUGCUGUAGAACACCGAUUGCGAAGGCAGAUCACUAAACUGUAACUGACGCUGAGGCACGAAAGCGUGGGGAUCGAACAGG